rnacentral:rRNA from 1 species
GAUGAACGCUGGCGGCGUGCCUAAUACAUGCAAGUCGAGCGAACGGACGAGAAGCUUGCUUCUCUGAUGUUAGCGGCGGACGGGUGAGUAACACGUGGAUAACCUACCUAUAAGACUGGGAUAACUUCGGGAAACCGGAGCUAAUACCGGAUAAUAUUUUGAACCGCAUGGUUCAAAAGUGAAAGACGGUCUUGCUGUCACUUAUAGAUGGAUCCGCGCUGCAUUAGCUAGUUGGUAAGGUAGCGGCUUACCAAGGCAACGAUGCAUAGCCGACCUGAGAGGGUGAUCGGCCACACUGGAACUGAGACACGGUCCAGACUCCUACGGGAGGCAGCAGUAGGGAAUCUUCCGCAAUGGGCGAAAGCCUGACGGAGCAACGCCGCGUGAGUGAUGAAGGUCUUCGGAUCGUAGAACUCUGUUAUUAGGGAAGAACAUAUGUGUAAGUAACUGUGCACAUCUUGACGGUACCUAAUCAGAAAGCCACGGCUAACUACGUG